rnacentral:tRNA from 1 species
GAGGGUAUAGCUCAAUUGGUAGAGCAUGUGCUUAGCAUGCACAGGGUCCUGGGUUCAAUCCCCAGUACUUCCU